UUGGCUUCUCCUCCCCCUCCCGGUUCGGUUCGGUUCGGGUCCGGUUCGAUUUCGUUUUUUUUUCUUCUUCGUGGGGUUGGUGGGAAAGCAUGGCGGCGCCGGAUGUUGAGUACCGCUGCUUCGUCGGCGGCCUCGCCUGGGCCACCGACGACCGCUCCCUCGAAGCCGCCUUCUCCACCUUCGGCGAGAUCCUCGAGUCCAAGGUCCGAUGGAUUGAUUCCCUCUUCUCUGUGUUUUUUUGGAUGUGAUUUGGUGGUGGUGUUCUUCAGAUCUGGUUGCGUAGAUCUGACUAUGGGGGUUGUGGUAUGCGGUGCAGAUCAUCAACGAUCGGGAGACGGGGAGGUCGCGCGGGUUCGGGUUCGUGACGUUCUCGAGCGAGCAGGCCAUGCGCGACGCCAUCGAGGGGAUGAACGGCAAGGAGCUCGACGGCCGCAACAUCACCGUCAACGAGGCCCAGUCGCGCCGCUCCGGAGGCGGAGGCGGAGGCGGCUACGGCCAGCGCGGCGGAGGCGGAGGCUACGGUGGCGGCGGCGGCUACGGUGGUGGCGGCGGCGGUGGCUACGGCCAGCGCCGUGAAGGCGGCUACGGCGGUGGCGGCGGCUACGGUGGCGGCCGUGGCGGCGGCGGCGGCUACGGCGGUGGCUACGGCAGCCGCGGCGGCGGCAACUCCGACGGGAACUGGAGGAACUGAGCGGUGGGGCCCUCAUGGCCAAGUUAUCUAUCUAUCUAAUCGAGCUACCAUCAUCAUCAUCCGAUCGUUAUCAUCGUUAGUUUUGUGUGGAACUACUAUCUAGUUUGUGUUACUGUGUGGUUGCCCAUCUGUGUUUUUGAUCGCAAGAAGAAAGCUCGUCUCGUGUUUGCUUUGAUCAAAUGAAAUGAAUGAAUGAAUCUUAGUGUGCUCCGCUCUCGUCAAAUCCAUCGAAUUAUUUAAUUUGUCAUGGUUGUGAAUCAUGGGGGUUGAUACUAUUUGUUGUUGAUGCUAGUGCAAAUGAUCAUCAUCAUCACGAUUUGAUGAUUUGCUAAGCAUAAGCAGCAUCAUUAGCUACCACUCACACUGACUGUGAUGAAGCUGUGAACUCACACUGAUGCUACUACUGAAGCGUUUGUCUGAUUUCCUUACGAUUGGAUUUGUUGCUAAACAGCAUCGUUAGCUAGCAGCGGUGACAGUGAUGAGCAGUGAUGCUGCUGGACUAGAGAUCUGCUGAUCUGUGUACAAAUAGAUUGGAGCAAAGCUUUUGCAAUACAGAUUUUUCUUCAGUCGAUGAGAAUGCCGGCAGCGAUCGAUGGCCUCCAGCUUGAGCACUUGCAAACAAAAACCACAGCUCCAUCUAUCCAGUUUCCCCAUAUUUAACAACACUUGAAACAGUCUUUGCAAUUGCUAAUCUUAGAAGCCAUGAUUGCCACAAACUAUGUUUUCUUUGCUCUAAUUUUAGCAGAGUUACAGCUGACCAGGUGACGCUUGUUGUGCCCGGUCAUAAUACAAUUCAGAGAACAUGACCAUGAGAUGUCUCUGCGACAGAAGCUCGGCCUAGCAGUGUGAAUGUGUGAUGGUAAGAUUUGUACUGUGUUCUACUCCUAUGUUAAUCCCGGGGAUGUAUCGGUACAACGUGUAUGUCCAAAUACACCGCCUUGGCGAUUUCUGCCGGCUUCAAUGCACCUUGAUUGUCUUGCUUAUUCGCCAAAACGAAAAACGAUGCGCCGGCCAAUCUCUGACAUCAAAGCUCCAAGGAUUACUAACUUUCAGAAGAAAGAUUCAGCAAGGGGAAAACAUGCUCUGAGAAUUAAAACUUUGCAGUCUUCACAGUUUCCUGGUGCAGAAUAAACACAAACCAUUUGGAAACUGGGUGCCAUUAACAAUUAGAGUUAGUGGCUAAAAUCACUUGCAACUCUUCUUUCAACAGACUCUGGAGCUCAGCAUUCGGAUAUCAGAACUAUCAAUCACCCAAACCAGGCAGUUAGCCUGCUCAAAUACGAUCGGAUUGUCUUCUGUCCACCCACAUCCCAUAUGUUCAAAGAGAACCUGCCACAAUCACCAUAUGUAAAUCUGAAUUUGGUGACCUGAACAUGUCACAAUAUAUAACCCUGUAACAAUCCUAGAUUUCUAGUUUCUUUUCUGUGUUUGCCACUCAAAAGCAUUAAAGGCAAGGUGCACUCUCAUGCUUCUGAAGCAAUCAUCAAAUUUUGAAAGUAGGUACUGAUCAGUGUCAUGUCUUAACAUAAUAAUAGCAUGUUAACUGAAUAAUAACUAGAGAACUUCGCGACCACCUUAUGCUGUCCACCCAAAAAAAAAAAUUGAAAGCAGUCAAGCCUACUAAAGUACUAUCUAUUUUUUUUCGAAAGGUGCUAAUUCUACCUAUUAUAUUGCCAGACCAUGUGAGGUGAAUUUCCUACAAAAAAUGUUGAUCUAUGUGAAUCACUAGGCACUCCAUGGCAUAAUCUCACAUUGGAAAAUGUUUGUUAAAAUUGAUCUUAUGGAACUAAAUAAGCUAGGGUGCUAUGAAGAUAACAUAUUCUAGAGCAUGUUUGAGCAUAUUCUGGAGCAUACUUCAAUACCUUAUACUUGUAGAGGUUAAGAGAAGACACUUGAUAUCAUCAAGCAGAUAAAAAAUCAAUAUAGAUCAGUAAACUCACACUCUAUUGACUAAAAUGAUGAAUCCACUUCCACCAUUCCACAUGCUUCAGUCUUAUGUUACAUGCACUUAAAUUGAUACGAAAAUUUUCAGAACACUACAGCCAGUAUGCUCUCGGAGACUUCCUUUUUUAGAUAAUGGUAUGAUCCCGGAGAUACUAUAGCAUUUAAAUGAUAAAUCAUAUCAUCAUCCUGGAAUUUCCUUGUGAUGCCAUAUUUAUAACUUGAUAAUUGACAGAAGGAGAGGUUGCAAUGCAAUGCAUACUUGUGGUACUUGAUGGUCUUGAUCCUGAAGCCAAAGUGUAGGGCUAAUGACGCUGGUGUCAUCACCAUUUUUUCUUAGCACAAUUGUUGUCUUACCCUAGUUGUGGAGGCCACUGUAAAAUUCUUCACAUCAGUGAUGUCUCCAAGAAAAUGAAAGGAACAACAAGAGCAACCAAACCAAUGGUACAAAGUACAUAUAAACCCUGGUAAAUCAAGAAACAUACUACAACCCAGGAAUCAAGAAAAGCAUCAGCAUUGGAAGCUGGAAGAGGAGGGGAGGAUCAGCUUACACCAUGAGAAUCCUCAUCACCUUCUUCUCCUUUCGCUUGAUCUUUCUGAUUAUGCUGAGGAGACCCAUUCUAGAGCCGGCACAUUCACACAGCAGAAAUGACUCUGAGCCACACUCUAGCUGGACAAACAAGGAUUAGAAUUCCUCCUAUCUGUAAACCAAAUCUUGCGCGCUGCAAUCAGUAGUAUCUGAACUAGGAAUCCUGACAAGCGAGAGAUGACAGAAUCGGUGCAGGAAACAAAGAAACGGAGGCGAAGAGGGAGAGGGCACUGAACCUAUCGGAGGGAAAGGGGUCGGAUCGCCGGCGGCGGCGGCGGCGGCGGGGGGAGACAUGAGAGAUGGAGGAGGAGGAAGGCGAUGGAUACAUGGGCUGAUGUUAGAGGCCCGGACGGUUCAUUGGGCCGUCGGAUUUAGUGGGCUUAAUGGGCUUUGCCUGUGCCUUUAAGGCUGUUUUAUUUUGAACAAUUUUCCAACUUCUAUUCUCUGGUUUUGACACGUACAUAACUGCUAAACGGUGUAUUUUUUUUAAAAAAAAUCUCUAUAAAAAGUUAUUUUAAAAAAUUAUGUUAACUUUUUUAAAAAAAUUAUAUCUAAUACUUAACUAAUCUCGUGCUAAUUCGUCGUUCCGUUUUGUAUACUGAGAAGGAAGUGUUCCCAACACCAAUGAACGAACAGAACCUUAUUACUUGCAUGGUAAAAUUGACUUAAUUAUUAGUCAGAGCAUUUUAGGAGCAAGAAUAUAUUUAGUUUUUCAUAUAAUCUUUGUUGGUAAAUCAUUGGUAACAUCUAAAUACUGAUAUUCCGAUUGAUUCUCUUCAUCGCAUUUCUUUAUUUUUAUCUAUGGACAUACACAUACUUACUGGAAAAAUGUAAGUUUAUAUAUAAAAAAGCCUAUUAGCUUGACAUACAAGCGUGUAGACAUAUCCAUGUACUAUGGGUCUUCAAACGUAUACAACGAUUGUAAUUAAGCUUGCUCAGGCUUCGUAAAAUUAUUGUCUCUGCCACUGAUUCAAAUACAUGCAUAUAUUAAUAAUAAGGCUAGGGAAAAAAAAAGGACUGAUAGAUAUUGGGGAAAGUUCUUCGCGUUCUACACUACGAGGCAGUUCAAGGCGUCGACUAUCACAUCUUUUGGUCUCCCUCAUCCAGACCAUGCUUCUGCAUGCUGCACAACCAUGUGUCAGUUAUUUAUUUUUAAAAGGAAAAAGUCAAGUACCCCCUAAAUUUUAGAUAGAAAUCCGUGUGGAGAUAAUGGAUACCCCAUACCCACAUGGCAUGUAUAUCCGACUAGAUAUGGGGGUACCAUAUAUGGAUACAAUAUCUUUAGUAAAGAACUCGGUUGUUUUCCUAACUUGUGUAUGAAAUAUCCGAGGAUUCUAGUCGGUUACGAUUGCAAUUUUUAUUUACUUGCAUAUUCUGUUAGGAACAUGUGUUGUAUCUUGUAAUACGGACUCCUCCCCCUAUAUAAGGAGGGGUUCGGGUGCCUCUUGGGGCAUAACCUUUCUCUCAUAUCAUACGAUCAAUAAUACACUCGGUGGAUCAAUCCCCGAACAGAAGUAGGGUAUUACUUCUCAUUGAGAGGGCCUGAACCUGUAUAAACCUUUUGUCUCCUAACCCAUCCACUUUUCCUGCUUGAUAGCCACCCCCUUUAAGUAUUGCCGAAAUAUUGUUUCGACAGUCCAUCUAGCACCCUAAAUUUUAAAACCGGACGUCCAACCCCUUAAACUUUGCAAAACCGUUCAUGUUAACCCCUAAGAUGGUUUUGGAUGGUGGCUUUGUAUAUUUUAAAAUCUUAAAUGAACAACUUUAAAUAACUAAUAUAACAUAUUUGAAUAUCAUCAGUUGUAAGUCAUUAAUUUAUACUUAUACAGUGAUAUCAUACGAUUAUUAUGUUGGUACUUGUUUGUAAGUAAGAGCUAACAACUGGUAAAAUGAAAGAUUUAAGUGGAGAUUAUAAUAAUAUAUCCCCUCUGUCCCAAAAAAAAAAAGACCAAUCCUACCUACGAACCUAGACACAUAUGUGUGUCCAGGUUUGUAGCUAGGAAUUCGUUUUUUUUUACAGAGUAGUAUAUGUCCAAUGUGCAUGGCACAUGAUCAAACUCAUCCAAUUUAUACAAAUUAGAUAAAAAAAUCACUAUACAAAACCAUCUUAUGAGGUAAUAUGAACGGUUUUGUAAAGUUUAGGGGGUUGAAUGUCCGGUUUUCAAGUUUAGAGUGCUAGAUGGACUUCUAUCUAAAGUUUAGGGGAGGGGGGGGGGUGGUAUUUGGACUCCUUUUUAAAAUGAAAGAUGUUGAGGCAUAGUUUGAGAGCAUUUCUAGAUCGAGAUAAGUUUUAUUGGUGACCUUUUGUCAUAGUGUUCUCAUAAAAAUAUGCUUAAAUCAUUUUCUCACAGUUGAUUACCAUUUUUGUAAUCUUUUCUUCACUUCACAUAUAUUUUCUAGAUCUAUGAUACCGCUUUAUUAGUUAUUUUCAUAACCUCAUAUUUCACUUAAAUAUCAUUCUAUAAAAUCCCGCAACAUUGCACGAGGUAUCAUGUAAAUAAUUAGCAACUCAUGACUAGUCGAUGGAUCGGUUGGGGGCGUUGGUUGUGGCGUAAGCUUCCGAUUUAUCGCGCUAGCUAGCUACGGGGAUAGUGGCUUCAAAAAGAAGUGCAUGUGAAGGAAAUGGAAAGAAACCGCCCUAUCAAUACAGUGUAUAUGUAUCACAGACCCAGGGUUCGACUUACCGUCGGUAACCGCGCGGUUACCGGCCUUACCGCGGGGUACGGUAAUAUAAAUACCGCGGUAACCUCCUUAAAUUCAAAUAAAUUUAAAAAAUAAUUUGAAUUUUUGAUAAAUUUUGCACGGUUUCGUACGGUUUUUCGCGGUAACCGUGCUUACCGCCGGGGCACGGUAACCCCACCCCCGCGGUUUAGGAAACCCUGCACAGACCAACCAACAAAUGCUACAACUCCCUCUGUCUCAUUUUAAGUGCAGUUGUGGAUUUCCGUGUCCAACGUUUGAUCGCCCGUCUUAUUUGAAAAAUUUAUGAAAAAAAUUAAAAAAAUAAGUUACGCGUCAAAUACUAUUAAUGUUUUAUUAUCUAAUAAUAAUAAAAGUAAUGAUAAAAAAAUUCAAAUAAGACGGACGGUCAAAUGUUGGACAUGGAAAUCUAUAACUACACUUAAAUUGGGAGGGACGGAGGGAGUACAACUCUAUGUGAGAGUGAGAUCAGAAAUAUAUUAGUGAAAGCAACAAUAACACAUCCAUGUCACCCCUUCUGAGGCAUCAAAAGGAAAGGGGACCAGUUGAUGUGUUUGAAUGUAAGCUUUUGUGAAAGAGAUCAUUGUGCAGCGAUACGACAACUAAUCUAUGAAGAAUAGUAUUGACAGAGAAACAAAAUGUACGCAUUAAUCGCCUUAAUUUUCACUCCCACUAUUCAGGAAAUCUGAAAGAUGCUUUCAGGAUCACCAUUUAUCUGUUGUUCUAGUACUACAAAGUACAAAACCCUCAGUAACAUAGGCAUUCAGCAUGCCAUUUCGAUACUUUUUUUUUCCUUAAGAUAUAAUGCAAGCUUUUAAUCAAGCUGAUACAACCACACAUACUGUUGUUAUGUACAACAAAUUCAGCCUAUGUAGAACAACAGGUAUAAGAAAAAAAAAUCAACUAAAAGAGUUAAUUUAGUUGUACAAAAAGUGUAGCAGAAAAUAUUAGUUAUACAGAAAUCAAAUAUUAUGUGCUCGAAUCCUACCAGUAGAGAGAUUCUUAUUGUUGCCUGAGUAUUUACUCUCUUUGAGACAAUUUUGUAAUAAAUGGUUAUAGCUUCUUUGAAGCAAAGACCGAAAUUUUUAUUCCAUUAUAGAAAAAAAAAAAAAACCAGCAGACAUAUGAGAUUAAGAUGGAUCCGCAUCCGGGUGGUCCUGACUCCUGACCCUGAAAGACAACCGCUGGGACAGUGUCUGCAUCCUACUCCAGGAUCAAGAGUUGUAUACACUAAUUGUACACUAAUCCAAAUUAGGACAAUGUGAGCAUGCAGUGGGCACACCUAACUACACAUGGCAUUGACUUGAGUUGAAGUACUUCAAAUAUUUUUAGUAAUAAAAAGACUACUCACAACAAAAUAAAUGAAAAUUACAUAUUUUUUAAAUAAGAUGAAUGGUCAAACGUGUAAAAAAAAAAUCAACGGUGUCAUCUAAUAAAAAACGGAGGUAGUAUGUUCUAAUGUUCACAAAAUCACAGUUAAGGUAAAAAAUAUAUCUAGAUAGAAUGUAUGAAAAGCAAGCACAUCGGUAGAUUUGCUUUUUCAUAAUUUUUGUUUUUCUCAUAAUAUUUAGAUAGGAUAUAUGAACAGCAAGCACAUAGGUAUAUUUGAGUCGAAAUAACUUUUAGAUUAUGGGUUUGACGGUCCUUUAUUAUUAUUAUUAUUAUUAUUAUUAUUAUUAUUAUUAUUAUUAUUAUUAUUAUUAUUAUUAUUAUUAUUAUUAUUAUUAUUAUUAUUAUUAUUAUAUGAAGGGAAAAUUUUCUUAUUUUUUUAAUCAAUUUAUAAUUUUAUAAUUCCCACUUAUUUACCCGCAAACUCUACUAUAAUAAUUGACUAAAGCUUUGUUGAAAUAAAAAACAAAAUUUAUUUAUCGAAAAAGAUAAUGAUUGGAUGGAUGGAGAUACAUGCGUGGUCCUGCGCAGCCAGCACUGUACGUACCUACUCCCUCCGUUUCGAAAUGUUUGACACCGUUGACUUUUUAGCACAUGUUUGACCGUUCGUCUUAUUAAAAAACUUUUGUGAAAUAUGUAAAAUUAUAUGGCUACAUAAAAAUAUAAUUAACAAUGAAUUAAAUGAUAGAAAAAUAAUUAAUAAUUACUUAAAUUUUUUGAAUAAGACGAACGGUCAAACAUGUGCUUAAAAAGUCAACGGCGUCAAACAUUUCGAAACGGAGGGAGUAAUUAGUUGCUGAUUAAUUGUACUGCAUGCACACUGCACACAGGUCAGCUAUAUAUAUGCUUCAUGCAUGCAUGAUGCAACUUAUAUGCAAGCAAACAUUUUCCGUUCGCGAGGAUAAUUAAUGCAACCAAUAAUACAAAUAGUUUCACGUCUUAGCAUGCUGAAAGGACUAAUUAAUACAGUAAUUAACAAGUACGAAUUUCUUAUCAUUAAGUGGACAACUUGUAUCUCAUAGAAAUUAGAGGUUAAUUAUGUGUGUAGCCAACUUUUUCAAGCAAUAUUAUGAUGCGUUUAAAUCGUAUAGGUGAUUAUCGUAAGAGAUUCCCACGCGUUAUUGAAAAUCAUUUCUCCAAAUCCAGACCAUGCAUGAUCGAUCAUAGCAAAACAAAAAACAAAUAAUUAAACUGAUUAAUAUAUAUUUGCGUUGUAUACUACUAAUUAGUUCUGUGCGUACGUGCAGCUGAGAGAUCUCAUCAGGAUAUGUAUAUAUGUUGUGUACGUACGCUGACCGAAAAGAAGAGAGAGAGAUAAGAUGAUUAGGAAAGCAUUUAAUUAUGAAGUGGAAAAAAACCUGGAGAGAGAUCAGGUAGGUGGCUAGCUAGGUUAAUGUCUUUAUAAAUUGAUGAUAUGCGAAUCAGAAGAUAAUACUAAUAUACGGAGUAUAUAUAUUACCAACUCCAGGUCUCCAGCGAUAUAUAUGGAAAUGGAAAAAAAAAUCUUAUCUCUGCAUAACUGCAUUAUUUUGCUAGCUAGUGGAGUAUAUAUAAAAUUUAAACUCGUCGAUUCCGAGCAGAGCCAUUUAAAUUUCAUAUAUAUAAAAUUUAGGAUAUCGCUCAUCCCUGAAAAUAGAAUAUAUUUUUCUAGCUAGUGCAUUUCAUGUUUCGUCUCCAUUCACUGGCUAGGGUAUUGUACUAUUAAUUGUUAUCCAAAUCAUGCAGAUAUAUAUGGCUUUGUUCUAAAUAUAUAUACAUAUAGAUAUAUAUGGCUUGUUAAAAAGGCUAACCGAGUUUAAAAAUAUGGUCAUCCCACGCUCUCUUGUCCACAUGCCAAAAUUGUCAAGCGCAGGGUAGUUCAUUGACGAAGUCAUUUUACAAUAGUUCGUAUGCAAACCACCAUUUAAUUUUUAUUAUUUUUUUAAAAAAAUAUACUCCUAUCUGAAAUGCAGGGGAAGGCAUAUUUUCACUCGUGGAUCUUGGGUCAUAUAUAUAUACAGCCUAGGACGGUAGGACCUAUGUUAUUCUGUUAGAACUCAUAAAUUAAAUAGUACCUUAUGGAUUUAACUUCCAGCUUAUUGAGUUUAUGCCUAAUUUUGGUUACUAAAAAGAACAUAACUAAAUGCUACGUACUGUACCAAUGAUAUUGAUGUGUGCACUAAUAAUAAUUAAAGUAUGCAAGCUUCACCUGCACUACUACUUUCAUUUACCUGGCUUUUGUUGACAUGAAGAAAUAUAAAUAAUUAAAUAAAGUUGAGCUGUGAUCUUAUGGCGGCAUAUACGUGCUUAAUUAGUACUUCCUCCGAAUUUCCUCCGUUUCAUAUUAUAAAACUUUGUAGCAUUGUCUACAUUUAUAUAUAUGUUGAUAAAUUUAGACAUAUAUGUGUGUCUAAAUUCAUUAACAUAUAUAUAAAUAUGGACAAUUCUAGAAAGUCUUAUAACCUGAAACGGAGAUAGUGCUCACUUAAUCACUCACUUACGCCACCCUCGACGUUAAUUACUAGCUCUCUAGCUUGUCGCCGGAUGACAACCAAAUGCUUAAUUAAUUAAUUAGUAAUUAACUAGACAAGGAUUAGUGAUUGUUUAAGCGCAAGAUUUGUCCUGCGAUUAUUGGCUCGAGGUCUUUAAGCUAGCGCCUGCUGCAUGCUGAUUGGAUUGGAUUAGGUAGUAGGAGUAUAGAUUAAAUCUGGGGCCAGCAGCAUCCAGAGAUCGAGUUGAUCAUGCGUAUAUUUUACAUGACCAUGACUACUCUGCUCAUGGUUAGUGCAGUACUUUGAUUAAUUAGCUUAUUAUAUUCGUCUCCACCAAUUAAUUUAAGGGAUUCGUCAUGAUACGCUGACGUGACCGAUUGAUCGAAUAUGCAUGUACUCCAUGUAUUUGCAGAUGUCAGUGUGUAUUUCUUUUUACAUAUGUAUAUGUGGACUUAUAAUUUAAUUAAUUCAUCUCCUUUAAUUAGUCGGAUCGAUCUGUUCACGCAUUCAUUCGACGAGAUCUUCCCCUGCUUGUUUUUUUCUAGUUUAUUAUAUAAUUCAAGGCAUCUUGAUUUUAUUGGUUAAUGCUAGCUAGCUGUAUCGCCAAUUAAUCAGUUCUUGAAAAAACUGCAUGAAUAACCAAAGGGAUAUGGCACAAGUAGCUUAGCUCAUGGUUCUCCCAAGCAAAAAAUGUUGGGUGUGUUUGGCUGCGUGUUGCAGUGCUGUUUGGCAGCCCGCUGCUACUUGCCUACUGCAGCUAAUGAAUUACUAUACUCUGUCCCAUAAAAACGUAUUCUCUCCGUUUCAAAAUGUCUGACGCCGUUGACUUUUUAGCACAUAUUUGACCGUUCGUUUUAUUCAAAAAAAUUAAGUAAUUAUUAAUUUUUUUUAUCAUUUGAUUCAUUGUUAAAUAUAUUUUGAUGUAGGCAUAUAAUUUUACAUAUUUCACAAAAGUUUUUAAAUAAGACGAACGGUUAAACAUGUGCUAAAAAGUCAACGGUGUCAAACAUUUCGAAACAGAGGGAGUAAACUAUAUCUACUAAUCUGAACACGUAUGUGUCUAAAUUUAUAGUUAGGAUUAGACUUUUUUUUUUUUAAGACAGAGGAGUAGCUCUAAACUAUAGCGCAGCGCUGUAACAUGUUGCCGAACAGUUCCAUUAGUACAUAGUAUGUUACUGUGAGAACUGAAAAAGUAACCAUAAAAGCCUACAAAUUGCCACAUAGUCGCAGGACAAAAGCUGAUAUGGACGUGAGCGGCCUAUAUGCUAUACGCGUGGCGCAGCUACAUGCAUUAGCUAGCAAGAUGAUUCACGUGCGCCAUUGCAUACAUAUAUGAUUAUUUUUAGAGAUGUGCUUCUAUGCUAAAAAAAAAAAAAGGUUAAUUGGAUCCGUGCCACCGUAAAUGUGGCAAAUAAAAAAAUGCCACACAUAUUUACGUUAUUGGCUGGAUGCCACUGCAAAUUUUUAAAAUAAGAACCAUGCCACUCCGUCAUGAUUUUCGUCCAAUCCAUCACAUUUUCUGCCGUCUCCGUCUUCGUCCUCUCGUCGUCCUCGUCUCGACGGCAGCACCAGCACGGCAGUACGAAGGCGAGCGCGGAUGGCAGCACGGCGCACGGCGGCACGGCAGCACGGUGGUGGAUGGCAGCACGGCACCGGCGACGGUCGUGCCCGCGUCCGCUCCCCGCGCCCCUCCGCGACCUCCUCGCCGACUUCCUCUCUGCACCGUUGCAGCCAUCGUCGUUGACCAUCUCCGCGGUGGACCAGCCGCCGUCGACCUCAUCUGCGCGGGAGAGCUCGGGAGCCGCCGCCGCCGUUGCUGUCCUCGUCGUGGUCGUCGACGAGCCGCACCGCCUCCGCCCAGAUCUGGCGAGGAGGGCUGCUCGUCGUUGCUGCCGAUGGAGGAGGCGUCGAGCCUCGAACUCCGCCGCCGUUGGCCCCAAGCUUUGUCACUGGUGCUGCCGACGCCCAUCUCCUCUCUCCACAUGACCAUCCUCGGCAGCAGCUGCGCCCCCUCCGCGACCUCCCCGGGAGCGUCCUCGUCGGCGGCGGCGGCGGCCUCGCUCGCGACCGUCCUCGCCGGUAGCGGCUAUGCCCGCGUCCGCCUCCACGGCUGUCCUCGGCAGCAGCUAUGCCCCCUCCCCGACCUCCCCGCGAGCGUCCUCGCCGGCGGCGGCUACGCCCACGCCCGCCUCCGUGACCUUCCUCGGCGGCUGCCAUGCCCCUCCGCGACCGUGCUCGUCGGUGGCGGCAAAGAUCGAUGGUUAUAUGUUGAUUGGUUUAGUUAGCUAGCUAGCUAGCCUCGCGCGCUGCAUCUGUAGCAGCUAGCUAGCUACUACCUGAGCUUGUUGGGUGUUUCUGCCUGAGCUCCGUUCCGCCGAACCCCGUCAGACCCGGCCGCGACCGCGCCGGGCUGUCCUCCGCCCGUGCCAGCCGUCGCGCCAGCUCCCCAUCCUCUUCUCCGUUUUGUCGCGUGAAGCCGAUGCGUUUUUGUCGCGUGCGCCUCAUCGGCUUCGACUCCGGUGGUCGAGCUGCUCACACGCGUCUGGGGGCAGCAGACGUGAGAGAGAGAGAGGAGGAUGACGGCGUGAGAGAGAGGACGGAAAUUGUGAUGGAGUGGCAUGGUUCUCAUUUUAAAAAUUUGCAGUGGCAUCCAGCGGAUAACGCGAAUAUGUGUGGCAUUUUUUUGAUUUGCCACAUUUGCAGUGGCAUGGAUCCAAUUAACCAAAAAAAACUUGCACGAAAGUUAAAGCUAAUCAGCGGCUGUGAUUAGAAGCGAGAUUAGCACUUAAUUAUCAUUAGCGAGGGGUAAUUUCGUCCAAAGAUUUUCGAGCCCAUAUCCAGCCCAGUCCAUCUGAAGCGAUCCCCACCCCCACCGGUCUACCACGGCGCCGCUCCUCAACCGCACCGCCUCCACUCCCUCCUCCCCUCGCCUCGCCGCCGCUGCUCCGCUCAACGCCGCCUUGCCGCCCCGGCGCUCCGCUCUCUUCUUCCCCUAGCCCUUAAAGCGCGCACUGCAGCCGCGGGUCGAACCGGCCCAGCCGCGCCUCCAGCUCCGCGAGCGGUCGAUCCACGCCUCCAGCUCCGUCGUCGCCGCGGGCAUCCUCCGCGCCGUCGUCGCCGGGGCCGUCCUCCGCGCCGUCGUCGCCGCGGCCUCCUCCGCGCCGUCGUCUCCGGGGACCGCCUCCGCGCCGUCGUCGCCGGGGCCGUCCUCCGCGCCGUCGUCGCCGGGGACCGCCUCCGCGCCGUCGUCGCCGGGGCCGUCCUCCGCGCCGUCGUCGCCGCGGCCUCCUCCGCGCCGUCGUCUCCGGGGACCGCCUCCGCGCCGUCGUCGCCGGGGCCGUCCUCUGCGCCGUCGUCGCCGCGGCCUCCUCCGCACGGUCGUCUCCGGGGACCGCCUCCACGCCGUCGUCGCCGGGGACCGCCCCCACGCCGUCGUCGCCGUGGACCGCAAGCCGUCGUCGCCGGGGCCCUCCUCCGCACCAUCGUCGCCGGGGACCGCCUCCACGCCGUCGUCGCCGCGGUCCUCCGUGCUGUCGUCGCUCGAUUUGGGAGGACAUUACAGGAUGUAUGUCAUUUAAAGGCAUUUUGUGGAGGGCAUUUCUUUAAAACUGCCUCAAAUCAUCUCUUUCAAAGGCAAUUUUCAUAAAAUGCCACAAAAAGUAUUUCUAUACAUGGCAAAUUUAAUUAAUGCCUUCAAUACUUUUAUCAUUAGAAGGCGUUUUAAAGAAAAACGCCUCAAAAACUCUGUGCUUUCAAGGCAAUUUCAUUAGCGCCUUAGAAAAUCUCCUAUUUCAGACGUAAUCACGGAACGCCAUAAAUUUUAUAUUAUUUGGGGGCAUUUUGCAAAAUCGCCAGGGUAACAGAUAGAAGGCACUUUUGAGAGAAAUGCCUCCUAAUCUAUACCAUAUAUGCAAAAAGAAUCCUGAAAGAAUUUAAGGUAUAAAAAUUAGUCCUUCCACCACACGUAUGCUACCUUAUCAGAUCCGAAUCAGAAUAGAUCGAUCAGAUCAGAUCGAAAAAAAAAAAUCUCACGCGGCUAGCGAGCGCGCGUGAUCGACUCCCGGCCGCCGCCCGGUGACUCGCCGCCGGCGACCGCCCGGCACCCCGCGCGCCCGCCCAUCGCCCGUCGCGCCAUGCCGCCGUCGACGGUCGAACGUCGCCCAUUGCGGCGUCGCCCAUCUCCGCAUCGGCGCAUCGCGCCGUAGCGCCGCCCGUUGACCUAGCUCAUAGGGAGAUUCGCCGCCGGUGAGCGCCCUGCGUCCCGCCCGCCUGCUGCCCAUCGCGGUGCCGCCAUCGACGCUCGACCGUCACCCGUUGCGCCGCCUCGCUGCCUCCACCCUCCAGCCCACGGCCUCACGCGCCCCGAGCCCACGACGCCGCCGCCCAGAGGUCCAGCUUCCACCUACAGACGAAGCCACGCGUGAAUUGGUAACUCUUCCCCUCAUCCACUGCCUAAAUGCUAAAUCCAGGGAUGGUUAGGAACAUUUUUGGUUUGGAACUUAGGAUUUAGUUAAUAGUUGAAUUUAGGCUCUCUCGAUCUAUUGGUGAUAUGAUUUAAGGUGUGUGAAAUGAGAAUUUUAGUAGACAUGUUAGUCUCCAUCUCUACCCAUCACACUACUGUUUGAGCACGAUGAUAUCUUGAGGUUUGUGCUUUUCCAGUUGGGUUGAAUUUACCUCAGUUUUUCAUGCAUUGAAGGUGUUUGUAGUAAUGCCUAAGCGAGUUUUUAUGGUUCAUAACUGGUUCGGUACAUAUCAUUCAUACAGUGAGCUAUAGGGAAGCAAUUUCUUACACUGAAAUAGUGUUCCAAUUCAUUGUACUGAAAUUGCAGUGUUCAUAACAAGCUUAUGUUCUACUACGUAUUUGCAACUAGUAGUGAACUUCAGUGUUCUGCAUGUCAAAGUGUUAGGUGCAGUAACUCUAGCAUCCAAAAUUCCAAACGAGAUGUUUGUUUUAUGUUUCUCAGAGACUGUUCUGCACAGUUCAAUAAUCUUGGUAUGGAAGUAACGCACGAGCGUAAUACUCUAUUUUCUAUAAAAUUAGAGUUAGUUUUGUUGUGAAGCAUAAGCAUGAUUGAAUAGGAACUCUAUUGGCAGUUUUAUCACAAGAAAUCUUGGUGGUUAUAACCUUAUAGGAACAAAAAUAUACUAUGGUUUGUGAUGUGAUCUGAACUUAGUGAUUCAUUAUGUAUGCGUGCUUAGUUGCAGGGGUGCCUUUUGAAUAGUUGGGACUGGAUUUAUUAGUAUAUUAAUUAGUAUAUGACUCAGAAAUGUUAAUUAGGCAACAUAACUGGUAGUAUAUUGGAUCUGACUGGUUAGCUGAAUAUAUAGUUCUUUGCAUUAUGAGAGGCUCAACGACUAAUUGGAUCAUGUAUUUUGGAUGAAGCCACCAUAUUGGAUCUGCUCUUUUGUUUUCUAAAACAGUAACAAUAUAAAUCCAUUGGAAAUGCUACUAGAACCUUUAUGUUCACUUUAAUCUUGAUCCAAAGAUUAGAAUGCUAGUUUUCUGUGGGAUAUUCUACACAAGUUUUUCCCCCAUAAAAUUUAUGCACAGUUAUAAUUUGGGUUAUAAUUUUCUGCAUAUGCCUCACUAGAUUUCUGUGGUUUGAUGAUAUGUUUGAACUUUGAAGAGUUGAGCUGCUAUCUGUCGGACUGUCACAAGUGCAAAUUAACUUCGAUUGAUUGAUCAUGGAUAAAGGGUGGAUGAAAGGAGAACAAUACAUGAUCUAACAUGCAAGGAUAACAUAGGACAUGAAGAUGUACAUUCUAGGACAAGUACUCUUGGAAAAGCCAGCGCUGGUUCCUUAAGUGCUAUCAAGUUCACUAAUAGCCAAGUGCUAACAACUUCACGGUUCUAGCUUAUGAAAGUAAGUCUCCUAUCCCAAGUUCGAAUGUCUUUUCUCAAGACCAUGGCAAUAACUCUGCUGUUACAUGAUAAGAAAUAGAACUAUUGGUCUGGAUAUAUUGUUUCUUACUAGUAUUUAAGUGGAUUUGCAUUGUAAAAUGUAGCAACUCAUUUUAUGGACAAUUAUAAUUUCUGCAGAUACCUCAUUUGACUUGUAUUACAGUUAUUUUCCCCUAGAUACUUUCAUGGUGCAUUCCCCAACAAUUAUACUAUAUAUGUUUAAAUCUUACGGAUUCAGGAUAUUUUUCAUGGUGCAUUCCCUAAUAAUUCAAAAUAUUUUGGGCACCUACUAAUGAUUAUAUUUACUUCAGUGCUGGCCUAAGAAUAGUAAUCCUGAGAGCAAUAUAGGAUAGUAUGUUAUGGUUGGUUAGCUGAGGAACACUGAGACAGUAAGUAUCAUCUCUUUGUGUCUCUUUGUUUGUUUGCAUUAUGUUCUGUUUAAAAGAGUAUGUAGUCAUGUAGAAUGCAAUCUGACUCAAAUCGAUCAACAAUUUGUUACUUUGAUUAUGUGCACUGUAUAUAUUGUGAAUCUAAUUCAUGUAAUUCUAGACUUAUUCAACUUGCAGCUUGAGAGUUAAAUGUUUUGAACUGAUAGAAAAUUGGAACACCAUUAUACUGCCACAUCAUUAUACUGCAACAUCAUCAAAAUUGGAACAUCUUGAUGGGACACUAAAAUCUGUAGUUUUGCAAUAAAUGCAUUGCUAAAUCUUGUAUUGAUGGAACAUUAAAAUAUGUAGUCUUAAUGUAUAUUUAUAAUACAUUGCUAAAUUUGUAGUUUUUGCAAUACUGUGACUUGCAGCUUUUUGAUAAAUCUAGUGUUAUAAGCUUGGAUUUGUUGUUGUAUGAUUUUUGUUUUGUCCUAAUACUUGCAGUUUCAUGUAAAGUACACUAAAUCAAAUCUUUUUUUUUUAAAAAAAAAACUAGUUUUACUGGAAACUGGCUUUGGUUAUCCAUUAUUUUGUCUGUUAACCAAACAGACCAGCAAUUUUCCAAGACCCUGCUAGACCUGGUCUCUACAAAAUUCAUAACCCAAACAACCUAAAUCUUUCCUACUGAUUUCAUAUGUGUUGUUGCUAUGCAUUAUAUCAAGGCAAAGCCUCUUUUUAGGCUGGUUGCCUGAUUGUAAUGGUUUGAUAAUCUUGUAUACUAGACGUUUCUUUUUCUUUAUACUUUUGUAUUCUUUAACAGAGCACAAAAUAUAAUUGGAACAUCAUUUACUAUUUUUACCACCACCCACCUUCUCAGGUUGUCAUGGAGCACAAAAUAUCUAACUUUUGCUGUCCAUAUCAUACUUCAUCAUUUUGGUUCUUUUAGAAAGAACUUUGCUCAAGUUGUCCCGUGUUUAUUACAGCAUCAUAUAGCAUAAUAAAGCAUAUGUAUCAUCAGAUGUUUGAGGUAUGAGUUAUGAAUUAUGUAUCUGCACUGGGAAUCAAAUCAAUAGUUGAUCAUCAUUAAUCUUUUAACAACAUUGAUCAUUACGAUGAUUAAAGUGCAAAAAUAUUUCAUACUCUGCAGGCAAUUAUUGGAUUUCAUUUUUGGAUUAAAGACAUGUACGAAGAUUAUCGUUAUCUGGCAAGUGUUCUGAUGCCAUCAGAAACAAUUAGAAGCUAUCACGUCAAGAUAUUCAACAACUGCACAUGGCCCUUUAUUGAUUUGUUUGUCUUUUCCUCUCACUUGUAGCCAGUAUAUAACUUCAGUGUAACAGAAUGUUAUUUUUUUAGUUGUAAACUGUGAUGUGAGAAAUAGUUGGAAAGAUAUCUAAAAAAGAUAGCAAAUUGCAAAUUUUUGGUGUUGAAUGAGCACUAAUAUUGGUUUGAUUGUACCAAUAUAUCAGUAUGUAAUUGGAUGAUUCAUUGGCCACAAUUUAGGUUUUUUUAUUAGAUGUUUUUUUCAUUGGAGGCAUUAUAAAAAAUGCCACAAAGCAAAGAUGAAGGCAUUUUGAAUAAUGCCACAGAUACCUAAAAUGGCAUUCUGGAAACUGCCCUAGUAAGCUCUAACGGCAUUCUUGAAAACGCCAGGCUAGACACUUUUUAAGGCGUUUGUAAAAAUUGCCCUGGAUUGCUUUUCCCGUCGGGAGUAAAUGUGGCAUUUUUCAAACUGCCUCUAAAGACCAUUCAAGGCGUUUUUUUGACUAUUCAAGGCAUUCCAAAUCGCCUCCUAAAGUGUGUCAUCCUGUAGUGGGAGGGGGAAGGCGUGGGACCCACGAUUGGAUAGGCGAUCCUGGCUGGCCAAAGUUGGCCAGCGUGAGGCCGAGUUUAGCCAGCCAAGCCAUCCGGCUGGCCAGUCUGUUGGAGUACAUUUUUGGCCUAAAAUUACUAAAAUUUAGCUUGGAGAGUGAGAUAAGUAGACUGUUGGAGAUGCUCUUAGCAGGUUGGCUGACAAAUUAGUGACAGUGGUUUCACUAUAGCUUGGUACGCCUUUAAUGGUGCGGCCACGUGACAAUGUCCUCGUCAGCUGGCCCGUACAUACAUAAAUUGUGAUCCACUGCAUCAUCAUCGAUCGCCUCUGUAUUUGGACCGACGCAACGUCAGACUAGCGUGAUAAAACAACACUGUUAUAUGAGGUUAGCACCGUUGUUUUUAUCUCGCGUGGCAAAGACCGGGCUUAAUUUGUCACAUACUCCUAUUAGGUUGACAUACACGGCUAGAAAAAGCAUUUUUCCUAACGUAGGGGUCUCAUUUUUGCAGACGGACAUACCCCUUAGAACCAAACGACCGCCUAAAAAAUAUAUAUCGGGAUGAAUGUGCCGGUCCGCCUGCGAAAAUCUAUUUUCGCAGGCGAACCUCUUAAGCGGCGCCGCUUAAGAGGUCCGCCUGCGAAAAUAAACUUGACAUAAAUAGACUUUUGAUAGACUUAGAUUUUCUUCUAAGUCUCAAAACCCACCCCCUCCCUCUCCCCUCUCCUCCCCUCCCCUCUCCUCCCCACGGCCGGCCUCUCCCACGGCGGCUACAGCGCGGAAGGCGGCGGGGCGGCGCGCGGCGUCCGGCGGCGUGGGGCGGCGGUGGUGGCUCCCCUCCCCCCUCCCUCCCAGAUCUGGGAGGAGGGAGGGGGGAGGCCGGCGGCGGCGGCGACGACGACGACGGCGCAGGGCCGCGGCGACGACGACGAGCGGGGGCCGCGGCGGCGGCUCUCCUCCCCCCUCCCUCCCAGAUCUGGCCGGAGGAGGGAGGAGGGAGGCCGGCGGCGGCGGCUACGGCGCGGGGCGGCGGCGGCUCCCCUCCCCCCUCCCUCCCAGAUUAUAACAUCUCAGCCUAGGGCUUAAUAGAAUUACUAAAAUACUCAUAUCAACAAGUUGCAACUUCUUUUCCGGAAGCCGAUUUUCAAAGAACUCCAGGGUUAAGCGUGCUUGGCCUGGACCAAUUUGGGAUGGGUGACCGACCGGGAAAUUAUUCUCGGGUGCGCACGAGUGAGCACAAAGUGUGCAGAAAAGACAUGUGUUGGUCUGUGAGGGUAGUCUAUGACCUAUAAAAGCUAUCAGAUGGAAGCGGGCCCGGCUUGGGAGAGGCAGGACGCUACAUGGAUCUGGCCGGAGGAGGGGGGGAGGCUGGCGGAGUCCACGACGGCGCGGGGCCGCGGGGGCGGCGGCGGUGGCGACGACGACGACGGCGAUGCCCGGCGUGGCUUCCCUCCCCUCCCCUCUUGCCCGGCGCGGCGACGCCGGAGGAGGACGGCGGCGGCGACCGCCGCCCGUGAUUUUUUUUUUGUUUUUUUGAAUGUAUUUUCGCAAGCGGGUUGUUGCCCCGACUGCGAAAAUGGAUGAUUUUCGCUGUCGUUGACCUACCCUCCGCCUGCAAAAAUCACUUUUUGCCGCCUGGAAAGAUAGUUUUUCUAGCAGUGAUAUUAGUGAUAUUAGGUUGAUAUGGUAAAACAAUACCGGCGUACUCACCGUAGGCAGUUUCGUAGUAUUGUUUCGCCACGUUAUAGUUGAUGUAGCUAAAAGGUUUAUAUUAGAGAUAGUUUAUUUUUAAAGUUAAAAUAUUAAGAGGUUUAAAAAAUUUGCAUUCUUGCUUGCCUUAAUUUGGACUGACAAAUGAGCUAGAGAGAUGAUAUAUACUAUUUAAUUUGGCUGGCUAAUUCGUUUGUAUUUACUUUAACUUCUUAAAAAAAGAAUUCGUUUGGGUUUAAUUCUUUUAUUUAAUCUUUAGAUAAGGGUAUUUUUUUUACCCAAUCUCUACAUCCAACCGGAUGUAUGUGGCCUUUUUAAAUUGGGAACUAGCCACUCAAACAAUACAAUGAUCUGAAGCUCGCUCUUAUAUAGAUUUGAACACAGGACCUUAGAGUGCUGCUUUAAUAUGUGUAUAAAUACAUAUAUGACUACUGUUCUUUCCAACAAUUAACAGUCAACCCCUUAAUUAUGUUUGACGAGUGUGAUUAGCACGAAUAGCUAGCUAGAUAUUGGCAGCUAACAACAGAACGUUGAUGUACAUGUCACUAGACAGUUAAUCUCCGGUGGCGUUAGUUUCUACACAUGCAGGGUUCCCAUGCACACACAUCUCUCGAUUAAUUCUCCCUCCGUAUUUUAAUGUAUGACGCUAUUGACUUUUUAACAAACGUUCGACUUUCCGUCUUAUUCAAAAAAUUUAUUCAAAAAAUUUAUGUAAUUAUCAUUUAUUUUAUUGUGAUUUGAUUUAUCAUGAAAUGUUCUUUAAGCAUGACAUAAGCAUUUUUGUAUUUGCAUAAAAAUUUUAAAUAAGACAAAUGGUCAAACGUUGGUUAAAAAAUCAAUAGCGUCAUACAUUAAAAUACGGAGGGAGUAUUAUAUAGUAGCAUAUUGUUUGCAUAGUACAGUAGGGAGCACGUUUCUAAUUUGUUAAGCACGAUCAACUCGAUCGAUUAGCCUUUUCUUUUUUGACAGCCGCAAUUUGUACAGCUCGAUGUGCACGUUUACGUUACGUACGUGUAGCACGUGCUGAAUUUGUUGGUGCCAUAGCUUUUUCUAUUCACCAACUUCUGCAUCCAUAUGCUUGCCUUUUAGUCAAUUUGGUGAAAAAUAUUUUAGGAUUCGUGCAAGCAUCAACAAGGAAACACUGUUAAUCCGUACGCUCCAACGACUUAAAAUUAAGUUUUAAAAUGCAAAUCUAUACUUUCUAUAUAAUUAGUACCCACUAACAAUUAUUAUAAACUAACUAAACCUCAACAUGCAAGCAUGCCACACCAUCACACACCAGCAAUUACUCCCUCCAUAUUUUAAUUAAUGUAUGACGCUAUUGACUUUUUGACCAAUGUUUAACCAUUCGUUUUAUUCAAUCUUUUUGUGAAAAUAUGAAAAUAUUUAUAUAAUUCUUAAAUAACAUUUAAUGAUGAAUCAAGUCACAAUAAAAUAAAUGAUAAUUUCAUAAAUUUUUUAAAUAGGACGAAUGGUCAAACAUCGGAUGAAAAGUCAACGGCGUAAUACAUUAAAAUAUGGAGGUAGUACUAUUCUAGCCUAUUUAAAAUCCCAUGCAAGCAUGCCACAUCUUCCCUCACUAGAAAUUACUAUUCUAGCAUAUUUUAAAUCCCAUGCAAGCAUGACACAUUAUCUACAAUAUUAUAUUAUAGAGAUCGAUAAAUAUGUGUCAAAUCAUAUUCCUCACAUUAUUUUCUCUACAUUUCAACUUUCAUCAUUUCGACAAUAUUUAAUAUAUACUCAUCCAUGAUUUCCGUAGCAAAGCGCGGGGUAUCACCUAGUAUUAACUAUAACUUGUACCCCAGCCACUAAUAGCUCAUAGGAUCCCUUUUUCUCAAUUUUUUGAGUUGUUUUUGCUCCUCGGAGAAAAUGUCACAUGGUGGCUAUUUUGAAAAAAAAUAUCCUCGUGUUUGCAUGUAAUAUCCAAUGUCCUCGAACCGAUUGACGCCCCGUUGUGUUGUAUCUGGAAAAACCCCUUGUCUUUUAGAGAAAUACAACGUGAAGAAGAAAAAAUUCUGCUUCCACGGAUAACGAUGUAAACAUAAAAACCACAAUGGAUUUUUCGAAAAACAACCGCAUCUACCCCCACCCAAACCCUAUCCCUCGCUGUCUCUCACCUACACCCACCACGCCCCACCCGCGCUCCACGCUGAUGCCGGCGUGGGGUUGCCUCCACCGCCGUCCAUCUUUCCACCAUUGUCGUUGUCCAUUCUCCUCCCGUUGCUGCCUUCAUUGUCCGUCUUACCCCCCGAUACCGGCCACAACCCCCCUCCCGCUACUGUGUGCCCUUUCUCCACCAUUGCUGCUCUCCCCUUAACCCUAGCAGCCGCUCGACGGAGGCCUUAGCAGAGGGUGGAGGGAGAGAAGGGAGGGAAGGAGGGCUCGAUGCAUGGUGGAAGGGCUCAGUGGUAGUCAAUCCUCUCCCCUCUACUAUGUCUCCUCCUCCGAUGCACCAACACAUUGCCUUGUCCACCGCCGUCCAUUCCUCGUAAGUUAGUAGGUUGACGAAGAGAGGCGUAGAUUUUUAUUUAGAUUGAUUAUGAAUUCGUGGAAAAAACGAUGGAUCUCAACGAAAAAAAAAUGAUGAGGAUGAUACAUGCUUUAUCACACAGAUUAUUAUGCAUGUUAUUAUGAACUCAUGGUUCAAUAUUAAUUAAUUAAUUUCACGUAAGACUACUAGAGUUGAUAACAUAUAUAAUAUGCAUGUCGUUAUAUAUGGUUUAAUAUUUCACGUAAGACUAUAAUAAUGCGAUGGGUUAGAGUCGUGACAAAACAAACGUACGUCAUCGUUUUACUAAAGAUGAGGUUUGAUAUCGACCUCCACCAAUCAUAGAGCAGGUUAACUUCUCCGAGAUAUAUAUAUAUUAUUAUUGCAUAAUGAUUUUUCUCCAUUGGAAAACUAUCUAGCAAUAUAGGAGCUUGCUAGGGCAAGGAAAGAAUAAAGAUCCAUGCGCUAGCUAGGAGUUGUAAGACACUCCAAGAUUCGUGCACACGUUUGUUUUUCAUUUUCACCCACAGAAUUUCAAUAAUCUUAAGAUGUUGAUAGAUGUACCUGUAGGGAAAAUUAAUACUUCCUCCGUUUCAUAUUAUUAGACUUUCUAGCAUUGCUCACAUUCAUAUAUAUAUAUAUAUAUGUGUGUGUGUGUGUGUGGGGGGGGGGGGGGGGGCGGCGCCUAGAUUCAUUAACAUCUAUAUUAAUAUGGGCAAAGGUAGAAAGUCUUAACCUGAAAGAUGUAGCAUUUCCCAUGCACGGAGAACUGAAGGAUAGCCCAUUUGGUUAUGUUAUUUUUGGUGGAUCCUGCCCCACCUGGGUUUAAUUAGUCCUAAGCUUUUCAAGCGUGCUCAUAUUUACAUCUAGUUAUUCUUUCAGUGUUAGGAUAUAUAGUUAGACGCACGUGGUGACGUUAUUAAUAUUAAGAUACGUUGGUUCAGUUUUUAUGAAUGUGCUUAUAUAUAGGAGCAUGAUUUCAAAUCAUGGACAAUUCGAUUGUAUGAACACAUUAUAAAAUAAUUUAAUUCUCACAAUCAAAACUACAGUUGUGAUCUUUGGCACCUUGUUGGGGGGCUAUACGAAUGUAGGGGCAUGCAUGCUAAUAAGUAUUAGUGUGGUACUCCCUCCGUUUCGAAAUGUUUGACACCGUUGACUUUUUAGCACAUGUUUGACCGUUCGUCUUAUUAAAAAACUUUUGUGAAAUAUGUAAAAUUAUAUGCCUACAUAAAAAUAUAUUUAACAAUGAAUCAAAUGAUAAGAAAAUAAUUAAUAAUUACUUAAAUUUUUUGAAUAAGACGAACGGUCAAACAUGUGCUAAAAAGUCAACGGCGUCAAACAUUUCGAAACGGAGGGAGUACUAACUGAUCAAGAACAUUAUCUUGUUGUACUACAAAGGCGACAAAAAAGCUCUGCAGAUUCGGUUAACCCCCCUUGCACCUUAGUACUGUUGCAUCAGUACAUCGUUUGUUACAACUCUUUUCAAUUAAUAAUUAAUAAACUACUCCCUCCAUUUCAGAUUAUAACAUGUUUUAACUUUACUCAAAAUCAAAUUGCUUUAAUUUUGACUAAGUUUAUAGACAAAUAUAGUAAUAUUUACACUACCAAAUUAGUUUUAUUAAAUUAAUAAUUAAAUAUAUUUUUAUAAUAAAUUUAUCUUGGGUCAAAAUAUUACUAUUUUUUUCUAUAAACUUAGUCAAACUCGAAGUAGCUAGCUAGAUCGCCGAUAUGAUGAUCAAUCAGCUAGCUGAUCAAUCGCGCGGAAACUCCUCCUGCCGAUAAUAAAGGGAGCACAAAUCCAUUUUGACCGAAAGUACACAGUACGAGACAUACUCCGUUCUUUUUCUUAAUUAAGAUACGGAUUCUAACUUAAUUUUCGUUAGCAUAUUUUUCAAACGGCUAAACAAUACAUUUCGUGAAAAUUUUCUAUUUAGAAGUUACUCAAAAAUAUCUAAUAAAUCAUUUUCAGGUUUAAAUCAACUAAUUACAUGUUAAUGGUUUUUUUUCUUAACGGCGCCUCGGUGUAAAAAAAACUCCCCUUAAAUUAAGCACGGGCUAUAUCAAACAUGAAGGAAUUGAAAAAGAAAAAGAAAAUCCAACCAGCUCAAGCUGAGCCGUGAAGUGAACUGUACAUAUAUAGUACUGUAGACCUAUAGUAUGGUUGCUGCGAUGCUGGCUCUGAGGAGUACAAGCUGGCCUGAUGUCUGUAUAUAUUGGUCAGUCUCAGCUCGCUCCCUGUGGCAAUGAAUUAUACUCGCUCCGUCCCAAAAUAUAAGUAUUCUUAGGCUGUGUUUGGCACCCUAUUUUUCCAACCCAUCUCCCUCGUUUUCCACGCACACGCUUUUCAAACUGCUAACGGUAUAUUUUUUGCAAAAAAUUUCUAUACGAAAGUUGCUUAAAAAAUUAGCUAAUACUUAAUUAAUCAUGUGCUAAUGGACCGUCCGUUUUCCGUGCGGUGAGAAUGAGUUUCCAUCCUUGAGAUGCGAACACAGCCUUAGCAUAGCGACAAGUCAAACAUUUUUAACUUUGACUAUUAAUAGAAAAAAAAUAAAAAAGAUCAAUCAUGUAAAAUUGAUGUUACUAGAUUUAUCAUUAAACAAACUAUCAUAAUACGCAACUCUUUUUAUUUAAAACAUGUUACUUUUAUAGAUAUUGUUGGUCAAAGUAGUAUCUCGUAGACCGUGUCGAAGUUUAAAAAUGCUUAUAUUUUGGAACGGAGGGAGCAGUGGUUAAUGUUAGAAUAUGUGUUUGGAUAUAUUAGCUAGUGAUCUUAUUAACUACAGUUAAAUUUGGUGGGUGAAAUUAGAGUUGAACUCUAUAACCCGAUAACAUUUUAAAUAAAGAGAAAGGUGCCACAGUAUAAAUACGGCGAUACAUAGAGAGAGAAUGGUGGCGAGGCCAUGGACUCUUAGCAGCUAGGUGUAAUGUUGAUUGAAAAAGUUCCUAUAUAAUCAGAGCUCUGAAGAUGUAUAGUUCGACUGAACUUCGUUAAUAAAUACCGUGUGUUCCUAUAUCAUUAUUUGUUAUGUCUGAGUUGAUCGAUGUCUAACUUUUAUAACAAGUAAAAAAGACCAUAAUGCAAUUUCAUUAUCUUAAUUUCAUCUGGUCUCAGAAAAAUACAUUACCUAUGAAAGUAUGCAUGUAUUAAGUUUGGCGCUAGAUGGCGAUGUACGUAUGCGCACAUGUGUCAUAUAUAUUAUCGCUGGCUAUACCAAUAAAAAUUAGUAUAAAUAAACUGCAAAAUCAAGGGACAAGAUAUCCCUUUCUAGAUUAUUUAAGUCAUAAUAUUAUAUAUUAAUGCUUCUUCUUCUUCUCCUUCCUUUUUUCCCUCCGAUCCUCGAUCUGCAUACCAAAUAUAUAUAGUAGAUCUCACUUAUCGGUGAAGCCUCAGGUCCAUGUCAUGUUAUAUUUAUUGAGAUGACAAGGUGAUGGAAACUACUCAUCAGAACAAAAUAAAAUUGGCUAGUGGUUAACGUAAAUAUAUCUCCUUGAUUUUCAGCAUCUUGAAUCAUUUGGGCAAUAAUAAACUAUAUAUUAAAUGUUGUUGUAUACUUCCUUCAUCUUAAAAAAAAAAGAUAAAUGUGACAUAUCUUAAUAUAACGAAUCUGAACAGAUUCCUUUCAAACGUAGAAAAAUAGGUGGAACUCUUUCCAAACAACAUAACAUGCAUGGAACAUCACAAACAAUGGGAUAUACUCGGUAGCUUCAGCGUACAAAGCACAAUCCCUUGGCUCGAUCAAGAGAAACUAUGAAUGGUCGAUAUGGAAACCUUAGGCCUCAUGCAAAUGCAAAUUCUUUGCCUAGCUCAUGUAAAAUAGAUUUUGACGUCCUACAGGCUAGCGGCAAGGGGAUAGUCAAACAAAACAUAUUGUCCACUAUAUCAGCGUGUCCUAAAGGCAUCAUUCCAUCUUCUCGUAGAGUGAAGAUACACAAUAAGGAUCUGAAACAUGAUUGCAACUUGGAUCACACAAGAACAACUCAAACCGGCAUCAUGGAAGCCAACGAUGUUUCAUGAGUGGUGGGAAGUUUUGGUCUUGUGCAAAGGAGUGCCCAAACAAGGAACGCGAACCCUCCUACUGCUAACUUAUUGGGAAAUAUGGGAAAUAUGGAAAGAAAGAAAUCAAUGAAUCUUCCAGCAUAAAGAACUCUCGAUGAUGUCGUUUAUUACCAAGAUAAAAGAGGAAGGGAAGACUUAGGAGCGCGUGGGAGCAAAGAGACUAGAGGAAAUUUUACCUUAAGCCCUGUAUAUUCUCCUUUAGGUUUUAUACCUGUAAAUACUUUUACUCCUCUAUUUGAUAAAUUAGCAUCGUCUUGUACCAGUUCGUUGAAAAAAUUAAUUUAAAAGCAGCGGUUCCUAUUAGAUGGGGGCAAUACUAAUUGAUAGAUAUAUAAAAAGUAGGUCAAGUUUUCAACAUACCAGGUAACAAUUUGGAGGAAAAUUGUUAUAUUAUUUUUUAAAAAAAAUCGUGAAAUACUAAAAAGAGUCAUUUUUUGGUCAGAAGAUCAUCCUACCAGGAACCACCAAGACACGAACUUUUUUAUUUUUUUAAUUCUAAAAAUAAACUAUUUGAAAUUUUUUUAUUGAAAUAAGAUGGUGAGCUGGCGUAACUAAAAGGUUUUAGUUAAAAUUCUAUACUAAGUUUUAGAAGAGUUUAUUUUUAAAAUUUAAAAUUAAAAAAGUUCAAAAAUUUUAAAAAAAAUCCCAGGACACCAUUAAACCUGAAAUUUCAGAAAUUUAACUCCAUAGUUGUGAACGCUAGCUAGCUAAGAUGCUUCUACCAAUAAUUGCAUUUGAUUUAAUUUUGCAAUUUUGCCAUAUUGGAGUGACAUAAUACUAUGUCUACCUACAGUCUGAAUUCUAGAGAUCUCUUGCAUAUGUGUCUCAUGCAUAUGCUUUUGAUCAGCUCCCCAUGCAUAAUGCACAUGAUGCCAGUAUGAACCCUAGAAACGGUCACUGAGCCUCCACAGUUAACUAUAACAAGCUACCCGUAGCUAGCUAGUCUAAUUAAUUGAUUAAUUAAACUUAUUUGUAUUAUAUAAUAUAAGCUCAAGUUGACUUGGAACGUGGAUCAGCACACAAAUACACACACAUGUAUAAUCUACGUCUAUAUAUUAUAUAGUACUACCGUAUAUAUAAAUAGUUGCAAUCUACUCGAUCGAAUAAUUAAGGCUAGGGCGAGGACGGUUAAAUCAUGGCUAUAGUUUAUAAAUAUAUGGAUAGUGUCGUGUCAGAUCAACAGUUCACUGCAAUUAUAGCGACUACUAGGACACCUUUCUCUGUGGGGUGUGUAGGUGUAAAAGCGAAGUACACAGUAUAACCAAUUCUAUAAUAAUUAAUUGCCAGGAUUAGGCCACACAACAACAGAGAGAAAACUAUUCUUCUGUUUGUUCUUCUCUUCAGCUUUUGCUGGCUAACUAGUUUUAUCUCUUUUGUAGAAAGAGAUGUGUAGUGUGUGUGAUGGAGAGAAAUAAUUAACGAGGAAAAACAUACAUAUACUCCAUCCGCCCUAUUUUAAUUGUAGUUGCGGAUUUCUGUGUCGAACGUUUGGCCGUGUGCGGUAGUAGACAAAGAGAGGGAGAAGCAUAAUAUGUCGACGCUGAUAAACAAGGAUCCAUCCAUAUAUGCUAAAAAAUGAGCACACUAUAUAUCGUCUACUACCUAGUAUAGAUCGAUCCAGAUGCAACUUAUGCUUCAGCUGCAAAUGCUAUCAAGGCAAUAAUACAUAUACACACUACUACUACUACUACAACAUAAUACUACUAUACUAGAUAGGAGGAGGAGGAGCAGCAACAGAUCAAUCUGCCUCCAGAUUUGAGCAAGAGGCUUUGCUUAAUUUGAUCUCCAAGCUAGCAAAGCAAAGCAAAUCUCAAGGUGUUUAAUUUCAGGUAAAUCUACAUGCAUGCAUGCAUCAGCUUAAUUUGCUUGCUUGUUUCUCGCUUCUUGCUUUCGAUGCGGCAAAAGAAAUAAAGGAAGGAAAAGGAUGAGACGACAUGUAUUUGGGUCACAUCUUGUUCCCUCCAGCUGGCUGGCCUCCUCUCUCAUGUCGAUUCAUCCGUGACAUCCAUGUAUCCUCCUCGAUCUCAAAUUCUCAAAUCAGAUUCUUUGUUCGCUGUCUCGUCCAUAUGAUUGAUGUCUUUGCCUCUUUUGCUUUAAUCUUGAUUUGUUGGACCUGCUGCUUAUUGUCUUUGUUGAUUGAUUAUUAAUAUUAUUCCUCAUUUCUCUUCUCUCUCUCUCUCUCAUCACAAAUUAUUAUCCGAUUUGAUUUGUUUUGCGGAUUGAAUACAAUUUUCUUGAUCUGUUCCAGAUAGGAUUGGUUAUACACAGAUUUUGUUGAUAUAUAUUUUGAUUGGAUAAAUUUGGUUGUUGAUGCAGUGGAGAGAGAGACGACAUGGAUGACUCGAGCUUCUUCAUGCAGUGGGCGAUGGACACGCUGCACCAGCUCCCCUCCGACUCCACCGCCGCCGCAGCCUACGCCACUGACGUCGCCGGCGACAGCGGCGCCUUCCCGUCGCUGCAAGCUCUCCGCAACGCCUCGGCGGCCGGCGGCGGCGGCGGAUUCCGGGACCUGACAGUGCAGGUGGACCAGGUCCACCGCGCCAACAGCUGGAGCUCCAGCGACAGCCCAGGCGGCGGCGCUGCCACGGCCGCCGCCGGGUGGUCCCCGCAUGUCACCGGCGGCGGCGGCAGGGGGCACAGGCCGAUGAGCUGGAACUUCAGCGCGGCGUCGGCGCAGCCGACCACCGAGGAUAGCGGCGGUGGAGGCGGCGGCGGAGUAGUUCCGGCGCCGCUGCAGGCGAUGGAGACUACCGCGACAGCGAGAGCGGCGGUGAAGAAAGGAGGAGGCGGCGGGUCGUCGUCGUCGGCGGCGGCGCCGGGAUACGUGCAGGACCACAUAAUCGCGGAGCGGCGGCGGCGGGAGAAGAUCAACCAGCGGUUCAUCGAGCUCUCCACCGUCAUCCCCGGCCUCAAAAAGGUUAACUAUAGUUUCAAUCCAUGGAUGCAUUCUUCUUCUAAUUCUCCUCUAAUUUCAUGCAUGAUUAGGCUAACAACAAGAUAGCUAGUAGAUUGCAUGUUAUUAUUACUAGCUAGCUGCACAGUCUAGUACUGAUCUACUGUUCAGUGAGCAAAUCAUCUAAUUAACUUGAACAAAAAUUAACCCCAAGAGAUUUGUGGGCAAAUUGAAAGACAAACCCGAAAGAAACCAAAUGAAGUACAGAAAUCACACGUUUGCAAUCUGCAGAUCGAAAUCACAAUGUUGUUGACCGUGUCAGUCGGUCGUCUAAUCUACAGAAAAAGGCAGUGCCUAAUUAAGCAGCAAGUACAGUGAUUAAUUAGCUAGAUAUGAUGGAUGCUGGUAAUAAUUGCACUGAAUUAAUGAGAUAAUAUUGCGUGUGUUCGUGCAGAUGGACAAGGCGACCAUCCUCGGGGACGCGGUGAAGUAUGUGAAGGAGUUGCAGGAGAAGGUGAAGACGCUGGAGGAGGAGGACGGCGGCGGGCGGCCGGCGGCCAUGGUGGUGAGGAAGUCGUCGUGCUCCGGCCGGCAGUCCGCCGCCGGCGACGGCGACGGCGAAGGGCGGGUGCCGGAGAUCGAGGUGCGGGUGUGGGAGAGGAGCGUGCUGGUGCGGGUGCAGUGCGGGAACUCGCGGGGUUUGCUGGUGAGGUUGCUGUCGGAGGUGGAGGAGCUCCGGCUGGGCAUCACCCACACCAGCGUCAUGCCAUUCCCGGCCUCCACCGUCAUCAUCA
rnacentral:lncRNA from 1 species